UGUUUUUUAAUAAAAGCUACUAAGCUGGAAUCUUCAGUGGUGGGAACUGGAAUUCUAUAUCCCAAACCAAAAGCAACUCCUAAUGUGCUCUUACUUUAAUGAAAACGUGGCUCUGUCCUGAAGGCGCUGCUCCCUUGAGCCCCCUUGAUGGAGCUGGCUCUUUGCCUCACCCACCAGACCUGGGCCAGGAGAUGAGCUUGGGUCCUCCUAGCUCCCAGCUGCUCAUGCUCUGUUGAGACUCUGGAUGUGCUAUCCUUUCUGCCCUUUGUAAAAUGGUGCCUGAGCUUCUGGUGACUGAUUCUGUUAAUCUUAGCCUUCCUCUCCACCUAGCUCCGGUCAGCUUUCCUGUGGUUUCAGGGUUCACAUGCUGAGCUGUCACAGUCUACUCUGAUCACCAGCAAACUCUCCUGAAUCCUGCUUCCCACGACCCUCUCUGCUGCCAGGACCCUCUCCUCACAAGUGUCAAAAUCAGAAUAAAAGUGUGGAGACAAGGCUCUGAAUUUGAUGUUUUAUUUGGGAAGAAAGAAUUGCAAUGUGAGUCAUACAUGCAAUCUCGGUGGUCUUUGGUAUGUCUGAGGAACAAAGAGAAGGUUCGAGGUUUUAUUGGAAAAGAAGAAAUGUUACGUACGGUGCUGGGAGAAAGAUGAUUGGCACUGUCAGGGUUCGGGGAGCUGGCAGGCUCUGACUGGUGAGCGAAGGUGAUGGGUAAAAUGAGUCCCGAAGCUGCAGCACGUGGUCUCAGAAGCUAGAGAUAAAACUGGUCUCAGGUUACAACAAGCAGUUCCAGCAGUUGGGCUUGCAGAGAGUUACAUUCCGGGAGCAACGGUUUGUACCCUGAGUGCUUUUCCUACCUGGUUACUGUUUUAGUUUGAUAUGAUAACAGUGGCCCAUUUCGGAUGAUCAGUGGUAACGCAAGUAACCGCCCCUCUCCGAGAUCUCCCCUGCAGGCUGUCCACGCUUGGCCUCCCCGGAUCUCCUCCUUACUCCCUUCCUGUUGCUGUGACUGCGCCUCCUGGCAUUGUUUCCCUGCUUGGUCCGCUGAGAGCCACUCUAGGAAGGACACGUGAGACUCCUUUCCUCUCACCUCGGCAUCCACUUGUCUUCUGCUUG